UACGGGGGGAGCAAGCGUUGUUCGGAUUUACUGGGCGUAAAGGGCGCGUAGGCGGUCAGCACAAGUCAGUUGUGAAAUUCCUGGGCUUAACCUGGGGGCUGCAUUUGAUACGUGGUUGCUUGAGUGGGGAAGAGGGUCGUGGAAUUCCCAGUGUAGAGGUGAAAUUCGUAGAUAUUGGGAAGAACACCGGUGGCGAAGGCGGCGACCUGGUCCUUGACUGACGCUGAGGCGCGAAAGCGUGGGGAGCAAACAGG
rnacentral:rRNA from 1 species